rnacentral:rRNA from 1 species
UACAGAGGUCUCAAGCGUUGUUCGGAUUCAUUGGGCGUAAAGGGUGCGUAGGUGGCGAGGUUAGUCAGGUGUGAAAUCUCGGGGCUCAACCCCGAAACUGCACUUGAUACUGCCUUGCUAGAGUACUGGAGAGGAGAUUGGAAUUUACGGUGUAGCAGUGAAAUGCGUAGAUAUCGUAAGGAAGACCAGUGGCGAAGGCGAAUCUCUGGACAGUUACUGACACUGAGGCACGAAGGCCAGGGAGGCAAACGGG